UCAGCUCGUCGGCUGUCGGCUGGGUGGGGACGUAACAAAGCGACCCAGGAAUGCUUGGGCGUGCCUCCACCCACGCCGGCGUCGGCGGGCGUAUUUCGCCUCACAGUAGGUCGCCGCGACCCGUUGCUUUCGGGGACGUCUAAGGCCCGGACGGAUUGGUACCCUACCGGCUGGGGAUGCGGCUUCGGCUUCUCCUCUUGUCCGGUGGGCGAAACCGCCGGUGUCCUGGCUGCCCUGCGACGGUCGUAGAGACGAGCCCUUCCCCAUUCGUGGGGGGGCGGCUCUCGCGGCGUGCAAAAGGUCGGUGAUCCACCCGACCCGUCUUGAAACACGGACCAAGGAGUCUAACAUGUGUGCGAGUCAGUGGGCGCACUAAACCCAGAGGCGUAAUGAAAGUGACACGGGUUCGGCUGUCGCCUCGUGUGGCAGCCGGACUCAGGGCCGAUCCCUCACCGGUUGGCCUCGCCUCUCUUCCGCGUCUCGGUAAGCCGGGUGAGCUAUUUUCCCCGGCCGCUGCUGCGGGGCUCGGGGGGA
rnacentral:rRNA from 1 species